rnacentral:misc_RNA from 1 species
CACAGGGCAGGGUGGUGGCCAACAGCCACCCGGGGUGACCCGCGGGACAGUGCCACAGAAAACAAACCGCCAACUGCUUCGGCAGUCGGUAAGGGUGAAACGGUGGUGUAAGAGACCACCAGCGCGCCAGGUGACUGGAGCGGCUCGGUAAACCCCACCCGGAGCAAGCCCAGACAGCGCACGUUCGAGACCGGCCCGGUCGAGUGCGCGGGUAGGGCGCUGGAGCCGGUCAGCAAUGGCCGGCCGAGAUGGAUGGCCGUCGCCGCGUCACCGGCAACGGAGAUGCGGA